UGAAACCUGAAAUUAGUGAUUUGCCAAAGGAAAUGAUGAGCUGUGAUCCCAGAUUUCAUCUCAAGUAUAAAGUAAUGAAGUGAGAAGAUUGAUGUUGAAAGGGACCUUGGAGGGCAUUUUAAUAUCUACCUUUUGAAAUGAAAAACAAAAUAAAACAAGAGAUUCUAUAAUAAUUCAAUGCCAACUGAAUGCAAUACACUCUUUCAGAUGUUGCAAAGAAAGCUGUACAUUGAGAUCAUCUGGAAAACUUUAAAACCUGCUGAUAUUUGAGCUCUACCCCAAGAAAUUCUGAUGUAAUGUGGAUGAAAACCUGGGCAUUGGGUCUCAUAAUAUCUCCUCCGGGUGAUUAUAAUGAGCAGCAGACUUGGCAUCCACUGGUGGGAUGCGUCUGAAUACAACAGUACCAUUUAUCUCCAGGGCAUACGUUCCAACAUCUCCAGUGAAAGCCUGAAACCAGUUCCAAACCUGACUGGCAUCAUUUGGAACACGUUUCUGUUCGUCUCUCCCAUACAGAAAUUUAAUGCCUUUUCCAUCCUAAUUAAGCGCUUAUCAUGUACUGCGGCUGUAACUUGUGCAGUUUGAAGGGCCACAGCAAAACUAGCAGGAAUUUUUUUCUUCUUUCAUGGAUCGAACGUUCUUUCUUACCAUAGAUCUUAGCAAACUCGGCAUAUGAUUUUUUUUCUUUCUCUAUUAAGUUGAAAACUUUCACCUUUUCACUUAAAGGAAACACUUUACGGCUUCUCUUUGGAAAACCCGAAUUGCCAGCAUCACUACUCUUGUGCUUUGGGGCCGUUAUGAAGUAAAAUAAGAGUUCCUUGAGCACACAGCACUUUGAUGCCCAACAGGUGAUCUGAUAACCUAGACGGUCACUAAGUGACUAAUAGUAGGUGGUGUAGACAACGUGGAGAUGCUGGACAGUGGGAAGAUUCACUCCCUUGGUGAGAUGGAGCAAAGAUGGCAUGAGAUUUCAUCGCGCUACUCAGAACUGUGUGGAAUUUCAAACUUAUCAAUUGUUUAUUUCUGGAAUUUUCCCUUCAGUGAAACCAAGGAAAGCAAUAUCACAGAUAAAGGGGAUUUCCGAAUAUAUAAACAAAAAGCAUUUACUGAAUACAAGAAUAAACUAUUUCUGCUCCUCUCUGGCUUAAAACUAUUCUGAGAGUUCCCCUUAAGAGGAUAGCACCUGUUAAAUGGAAAAGUGAUUAGCUAUUAUAAGUUUAGAAAAAACACAACAAACUACCAUAGAAUCUUUAUUCAUAAAAAUCCUUAAAACGAGAAUGAAAUAAUCACUUUCAUUCAUUUCAUACUAGCGUGUAUUGUGCCCAGUCUUUUUAAAUACGGUGUCAUCCAGGCAAAGCUGAAUGAGACAUGAAGCCUACCCUCUCUUCCUGUUCCAGAAAGCUCCUGGUUAGAAUUUUACUAAAGGAACUCCCCUUAACGUACUCUUCCUGUAAAAUUUUCUUUCUUUCUCCCUCAUCACCUUCAUUAGUUGUCUCUUUAUUUGUAUUUUGUUUGAAUGCUUGCUGGUCUUAAUUGUUGAAUAUAAUGUUUCAUUUAUUAUAAACUGCCUCA
rnacentral:lncRNA from 1 species